UUAUUAAUUCUUUUUUUUUUCAAUUACAUCAGCUUACUUCUUCAAGUAUGGAGAAAAGGCUACAGUGUGUCUGUUUAAGCAUCCAUUAGUACUUGAUGGCUGCACACAUCAAUAAGAUGAUUUGUUCGUCUGCCUCCUAAUAUUACGUUCUGUUCUGGUGUCUCGUGAGUUUUUCAUGCCAAUAGUAUUGUUUGCUUUCUACAGAUAAUAUUCUGGCAAAACGAACUUUAUAUUAGAUUCAUAUGUCAUCCACACUUAAUGGUUUCUGUUUUGGGGGACUCGAUCAGGUGUAGUAAGCACUUACUCAACAUUGCCAUAAUUAUUCUAUCAGAUCUUUAGAUCUGCAGCUCAUCAGACCAUGUCACAUGUCCAGUCCAAGUUUUACAGAUAACUAUUCCCAUUAUUGGAGAGUGUAUUUAUUUACAUACUACUGGUGAUAGCUCCAACGUGUCACCACACCAUGAUCAAAUCAAGAAGAUUGGGGGAGUUCCAGGUUAAGGAAAGCUAUUCUGGCCAAUAGACCGUGGUUCUUGGUUACACCUGGAAUGAACAUGCUAAGAAGUUUUUCCAUGGUGCUGAGAUGUCAAUGUACAAGAUGGAAGUACUUAAUGAAACAUGCUUAGAAAGUCUGGACUGAUCAGAAAUAAAAUCAUAGUAGGAUGGCCAACAGUCUCAUAGGCUAACUUGUGUUUUUGCUGUCGUGUUACUAAUUCAUAAGCGAUCAAUUAAAUAUCUGCUAUGUUAACUAA